rnacentral:misc_RNA from 1 species
GUGGAUUUCACAGAUCUUGAAUUUCGGCAAAAUUCAUAGUAUGAACAUGCUUUAUCAGUAACCUUGCAAUCCUUCUCUGACCCUUCUCCUGAAUUAGGGAUAUUUUCAUAGUUCUUGUACUGCUCAAGCCUAGUUUUCCUGUACUUUUCUCUAGUAAUGCUAAGUCUCUCCCAAGGAAUCCCUUGAAUGUCUAUUCCUCUUCUUGCUUGAGCUGCAGUGGUAUCAACUAUUCUACUACUCGAGUUGAAUUCAUCAGCAUCAGAAUCUGAGCCUUCCACUUCUCUAUCAUGAUACUCAUCAUCCAUAUCAUCGUCAAUGUCUUCCAUUUCG